rnacentral:tRNA from 1 species
UCUAAUAUGGCAGAAAAGUGCAAUGAA